rnacentral:rRNA from 1 species
CGGGAUUGCCUCAGUAGCGGCGAGUGAAGCGGCAAGAGCUCAGAUUUGAAAUCGUGCUUUGCGGCACGAGUUGUAGAUUGCAGGUUGGAGUCUGUGUGGAAGGCGGUGUCCAAGUCCCUUGGAACAGGGCGCCCAGGAGGGUGAGAGCCCCGUGGGAUGCCGGCGGAAGCAGUGAGGCCCUUCUGACGAGUCGAGUUGUUUGGGAAUAA